rnacentral:lncRNA from 1 species
AUUUUUAUUUAAUAAUUAAUUUAAAUAUAAAAAGUAAUAAUUUUUUGAAAGUAUAAACGAUAUUAUUAUUAAGAGAUUUGAUCGUGAGUCAAAGUUAUAAUAUAGUUCCACGUGUUUAGAUACAAACUAUAAUAGAUCCUACAUUUAGUUUUUUUUUCUAUAAAUAAAGCCCCUCAAGAAGAACUUAAAAGAACAAAAAAGUCCAAUAGAUACAUAAAUUGUUCUUCAAUUUAUCUUCAAAGUUCAAACAAGAAUUAUUGAAGAUGGAACUUAUAUGUGGUGAGUGAUUUCCAUGCCAUACUUGUCAAGUGAGCAGUCCUUUUUGCUGUUAACCUUUGUCUCAUUGUCUGUUCGACCUUGAAAUAAAAGAAAUAAAUAUACGAAGAAAUAAUUAUAUCAUAUUAUAAUAUUUUGACGAAACGAUUUAUCGUAGCUCUACGUUAUACACAAAUUCUAGCUACUAGAUAAUAUAUAUUAAUUCUUGAUUUUGGAUUUAAUUAAAAUAUAGUUAUGCUAAUUUACUAUCAUCAAUAUUUAGCUUAAUUAAUUAGUGAAUAAAUCUUCAAGGUUUGUAGGGAAGAGGGUAGGGGGAAAAAACUUCAAUUUAUUGUCAAUGUUCAUAGGAUGGUUUAUUUAAUGAAUAAAAUAAUUAAGUCUUUGUUCUUUUGUUAAUUAGGGUAAUUUAAUGAAGUCUUUAAUCGUUUGUUAGUUAGGGUAAUUACAGACAAAUUACAAACUACUUUUAUCAACAAAAAAGAUUUAUAUGAACAUAUUAGUGUUCAAGAAACAAAUUUUUAUCGGGGACCGAUGCAUAGUACAUAGUAACAUUAUGACAAAUCUUUUUCACGAAAAAAAAUAAUAAUGAGAGAAGUACUAAAAACUCUUUCAAACUCAACGUGAAUUAUUAGUUUUAUUCUAAAAAUUAUUGACAGUCUUAAAAACACUCAUAUAUUGGUUGUUGCAGAUCGAAUGAAUAUCUAACUUUAGUUAAAUAACUAAAAGAAUAUUUUUAAAAUUAUAACAAUUCGAGAAUAAAACUAAUAACUGUCGAGUUCAUAAACACUUUCAAUAGAAAUAAUCUCAAUCGUCUAUGGGACAAGCUCUUAGAACUUAAUGACUCAUGAGUUAGGUGUAACAAAAAAAUUUGUGAGUUAUUUUUUUAUAUAUCAUAAUUCUAAUUAGUUUCAAAUUAUAUUAUAUUAAAAUUUUAAUAUGAAUAUGAAAUUUAAUUUGAAAAAAAGAUUAUUAUUUUCCGUUGAAUUCAAACUUUUAAUAUUGAUUUCGCCCCUCAUUCUUUUGUACAUGCCCUAUCUUAUUUUACAAGUUAAUGAUAUUAAAACAUUUUUUCAUGUUUAUCUAUAUUUAUCACUUGCGUAAAAUAUCGUUUGCACCAUUAGUAUAUUAAAGUUCAAAAUGUUCUUUUAAUAAUUAAAGAGAAUAUUGGUAGUGGAUAUUUUAUUUAAUUAAGGUCGAACAUACAAUGAAUCUAAGGUAAAAAAAGAAGCAAAGAGACUGCUGAUUUGUCAAGGUUUUGCACUGAAAUCAACACCAAUGCUUGAAGCUCACAAUUACGAGAAAUAUAUGGAAAUUGAACUUUUACAUGUCGUAGCAGGUAAUAGUUUUAUUUUCGAGUUAUUUUUUUAAAUUAUGAAUGAGUAUUUAUAUAUAUAUAUAUAUAUAUAUUUAUAUAUAUAUCUUUUGUCUUUUAUGUAAUAAAUACAAUGUAAAAGUUUAAUAUACUGAAAUUAUUAUUAUUAUUAUUUGUUAAAUAGAAAUAUAAAAAGUAACAGGUAAUUUUGAAGUAAAACUUCAGCAAAAUUUUUAUGCUACUAAUGAACAUGCUGCAAAUUGUCGAUCGAUGAAAUUUGUGUGAGUUUUACAAUAUAAGAAACCACCUUUUUUAUGACAAUCCUUCACGCCACAAUAACUUGCAAUUUUGAACUUCUAGACAUGUAAACUACAUAUGCAUGUAUUAAUUAUCGUCAUCUAUUAAAUAUUAUGUAUUUUGUCAUUAAUUAAGAUUUUUUUUAUCGUAAAUCAAAGAAAAUAAAUGUAAUUGUGCUAUUAGAUACACAAAAAUAGGGAGAGAGGUGAGCGAGAUUGGUAAGCUGGGAAGAUGAGUGUGAUUCAUAUGUGUCUCAUAUACAUGCGAAUCACAGUAGAUACUUUAUCUAUAUGUAUCUGGAGUUAUUCACAUAUCAGAUACAUGGGAGAGACGAGAGAGAUUCGCUAUAUAUCCUAGAUAUACGCGAAUUCACUUGUAUACAGUGUAUUCAUAACAAAUUAUACUUAAUUUUGACUCCAUGUAUUCGAAAUACAUGUAUUUAGAGAUACCAAAAUCUCAUAAGAUACAUAAUAUUACACAUUAGAGUGUAUCGAUUAGCUCAUAUACUAGUGAAAUUUACGGAAGUUCCCCAAAAAUUCAUAUCCUUCCCUCAAUGUCACACCCCUAUAUUCCUCCGAAAAUUGAAUUGUUUUUUUUUAAAGAAAAGAGUUUUUCCAAUUAAAGUGACAUUUUGAAAAGAGAUUAUUCUAUAUUCAGAGUCGUCACUUGGAAUUGAGUUAUGGUGUUCCAAGUUACCUUUUUGUUUAAUCCCUAAUAAAAAGGAAAUGACUCUUUGUUUAGUCUGCGAAUCAGAAAUUCGGGUAAGAAAUUCUACUGAUCGAGGGGAAGGUAUUAGGCAUCCCUCGUGUUCUGUGGUUUCAGCACGGUCGCUUUAUUGACUUUUAUGACUUAAAUUAACUUUUGAAUAUUAUAUUAUUAAAACAAAUAUAUUUAUCCGCAUUAUUUGAUUAACCUUUGACAUAUUUAAAACUACCCUAUUUUAUAAGCAUGUGAAGUUUUUAUACAUUUUUAUUAUUUAUUUAUUUUUGUUUAUUAAUUUUUCAUGCUUUCAACAUUUGUUUGCUUCUUAAUUUCUUUUUUUAUUUUUUUUGUUUUUCUUAUUUGUUUUUAUAAUUGUAUUUUUGUUUCUGUUUCUUAUUUCUUGUACUAAUUAUUCACGUUUUUUUAGCUUUCCUUAUUUUUUAAAUUUUACAGUAAUUUUUUUCUUUUUCUUUUCUCACCCUUUUUAAUAGUUCUGUUUUUUUAUGAUAAUAAUAAAAUAUUUUAUUAUAUUUUUUAACACUAUACAUUUUGUUAAAGUAUUUUUUAUUAUAUUUAUUUUUUAUUUUUUCUUGUACAUUUUCUCCAUCCUUUUUAUUAUAUUUUUUUGUUUUUUUUUCUAAUUCAAAUGUUCCUUCUCCACUACUACUUUUCUUCUUUUGUUAUUCACGUAUUCUACCUUUUUUCCUUAUUUGAUUUUUAUUGUUAUUAUUUUUAAUAGCAUCCAAAAAAAUUAAUAAUGUAAGACGACACACAUAAUAUAAUAUGAAACAUAAUUUAAUGCUUUUCUAAACACAACCAAACAAAGAAUUCAUUCAAAUUAGUAAGAUAUGAAUAUAGAAAUUUGGAUAAUUACGCAUAUUAUCAUUAUAAAGUUAAGAACUUUACAUAAUAACUACACAUAUUAUCAUUAUAGAACUAAAUAUGAAAAAUAAAAAUAGACUUAGAUAAUAAUUUUACUUAAGUAUGAAAUAAACUAUGGAUUAUUUAAUAUGAAAUAAAGUACGGUUUGUUAUAGCAAUUUCACACUAAAUAUAACUAUAUAAAGGAUCUAAACAUAAAGUUGAUAUGAAAUAUUUGAACAUACUUCAUAUAAAAACAUAAUGGUUUAACCACAUGUGAAAUUCGACAACUUCAGUAUAUUGCAAUCAUUGAUUGUAUAAUCAUGAUAUUAAAUUAUACAAUAAAAAUUAAAUGGUACCUCUUGCGAAAAUUUCACCAAAAGAAAACAAUCGGGAUAAGGAACCACGAACUCGAAACCACAAAAGUAAACCUCAACUUCAACUCUUGUUUGUGAGUGAGAGCAAAAUAUGAAAUAAAAUGUGAAUAUAUUUGCUGAUUUUUUUUGUUUGUAGGUGAUUUUCUUCCUUUUUUCAGAUCUUAACACAAAAUAAAAUAUUUACAAUUUUUACAAGUUAAAAUUUGAAAUAAAAUAGAUAAACAUUGAAAACUAUAAACUAACUUAAAAUAUACUAACAAAGUAGAUUAUAAAAUAUUUUUAUAUAAAAUAAAAUUUUAUAUAUAUAGAGAGAGAGUGUGUCAUUGA